AGAAUUCUCAUAAACUACAAUAUCCUAACAUUACUCAAAACAACAAGGUUUAAUGAAUAUUCAUUAUAGUCCAAAAAUAAAAGUUCACAAUUAGACAACUUAAUCAAAAUAAAGUUUCAUUACAAAUCCAUAAUUCAUAAUUACUAAAACAAAUCCAAAAAUCCAAAAAACACAAUAAAAAAAAUGUCACACUCCACUAGGCCACUCCAGGAGCAUUUUGAAGUCCUCCCUGCCCUACCUGUAGAUCCUCAGGAGUGAUAUCUGCAUCUAAAAAGAUGUAAAAAGGAAGGGGUGAGCAUUUCCACAUUGCUCAGUAGGGUGCCUAACACCCAAGGGGUUAAGGGGAUUACUAAGUUCCAAAGAAUACAAAAAGAACAUUUCAACACAACAGAAACAUUUCAACAGUAUCAAUCAAACCACAUAGUUUAAUAUCUAAUAUUAUACACAAUUCCACACAUUCAACAAUUAAAUGAAUGCACAUGAAUGUGUGACACACAAUCAUACAAUGCACUAUUAUUCUCGGGCUUUCACCGAAGGAUACGCGUCCGCACCCAAAUACACUCCCUAUUCGGAGUCUUCCCGGGGUAAACUUUUGGGUCUUUCACCCUAGGGAUCUCUCUCCCUUCUUAAUUUGCCUCACACGGACUUUCACUUUUCAUCACUAUUUCAUUUUUUUCCAUUUCAUACACUUUUCACAAUUUUCAUAAUUUCUUCACACAACCAUGAUGCAAAUAAAUGCCACAAUUCCAAAGUUCCUCAAUAAUUUCAACAAUUUCAACAUUCCCCAAUAAUCCAAUAAAAUAAAUUUUCCACAUUAAAAUUUCCGAAAAUAUCCCAAAUAAAUAUUCAAAAAUUUGCAUAUCAAUAAACUUGAAAAUAUACCACACUUACGGACAUUUUCAACCAUUCUAAUAAUUUCUAAUAUUCGAAAUUAACUAAUUUUCCACCAUAAAAAUUCCGAAAAUAUUCCAACCAAUGCCCAAAAAUUCACAUAUCACUAGAUUUGAAAUUAAACCCUAAUUUCAUAAUUUUCCAACACUUCUAAUAAUUUUUAACAAUUCAAAACAAUUAAUUAUCAACCAAAAACAAAUUCCCGAAAUUACAAAAAUUCCAAACAAAUUCCAAAUAAUACAGGAAAAUUUCAUACAACACCCAUAUUACCUAUUUAACUCAUAAUGAUAAGAUUUACAAAUUUUUUUUAAAGGAAGACGCAUUAAAUUUAAGUUUUAGGGUUAGGUUCCCCUACCACAGAUCUAAUAAUUCAAUCGUUAAAAACACGAUCGGCCACCGUAGGAUUGUUCCUCUCGUCGAGUAGAGCACCUCCUUAAAAUUUGAGCCGAAAUGGAGGUCGUUUGGCCACCCAAAUGGUCAGUCAAAGUUCUGGCGAGAUGCAACUUCUCCACAGUGCCGUCGCUGCUCCUUUUCUCACCCAUUCUGCCACUGUUUAAUUGAUUUUCCUUUCUUUUUACAAAGCCCAUUUCAUUUUGUUAUUUUAAUCCACCAGCCACCACGAAGUCCACGGCCCAAGAGCCCAAAAGCCCAACUACCCUUUUAUUUCUUUCUUUUGAAACCCAAUUCAUCCAAGCCCAAAUCGAUUCCCUUUUUAUUUUUGUUUUCAAAAGCCUACUUUCAUCCACUCACAACCACUGCCCACGGCCCAAAUCCAGAGGCUCUAAUUAAUCUUUUUGUUUAUUUAUUUUCUUUUCUUUGUUUUCAUUUGGUUAUUUUCCAUUUCCAAUUUCAUUUCAUUUUUUUUUUAACAACACAAAUUAAUUUAUUAAACACCAACAAAAAAAAUAAUUUAAUUAAUUUUUUUUACUUAAUUAAUUUUAAUCAAUUUACUUUUCAUUUUCAUUUUCAUUUUUCUUUUCCGAAAUUUCUCAAUUUCUAAAAUCGUAAGAACUUUUCUAUUCUAAGGCUGGCAUGGCACAAAAAUUUCAACUCGCCUAAUUGACCAACACAAUAAACCGAAUUUCACCAAUCCAAAAUUAACAUGUGUUCUCCAAACACUUUUCUUUUUGACUUUUCAACCAUCACUCAAAAUAAGACUUUUCAAAAUAAAAAAGCUAACGUGGCAUAAAAUACCCGGUCAUUACAUGCAUGCACAGAUUUCCAAUGUAUUCUUCCUUCAUUUUCAGGAGAAUUCCCUAGUCUUCUUCUCUAACCAACUCUGCAUUUAUUUGGGUCCUCCCAUUGUUUAUAUUCAAGGGGGCAAUCAAGAAGAAUAAUACGAGGGUUGGCAAUCUUUCUUUUCAUUUUUCUAAGGGCCACAACAUCUUUGUUAAUCAUAACUCCUUUAAGAACCUUGGAAUCUUCCAACUAGCCACCAAGGACUUUCUCAACCUUUAUGUUCUUCUUAAUGUCCACUUCUCUCUAGGACAACAUGCACAGCAAUCACUUUACAAUAUUGUAUUCCUUCUUUCGGUCUGUAUACACACGUCAUCCUCUUCAUGGACCUAUUCAACCUAGAGAGAGGAUUUUGGCCAGGUAGACCUUUGAACCCAUUCCGAAAUAACCCUUUUUUUAGGUAAUCUCUUGAUAGCGCUGGAAGCAUAUCAAUUCUUGUAUCGGCACAAUGCGAAUCAAAUUGAAACUCUUGUUCUCCCCAUUAUGCACCCAAAACUAUCACCUUUCUAUCAGCUAUGAGCUUCCUCGCCUCAAAGCAUGCAACCUCAAGCUCACUUGGCUUCUCAUAAUGGUACCGAAAGUCCCUACCCAUCAUAUCACCAAUCUCAACAAGACAAAAACUUGAGAAAUAAGGGCCUUGACAAAUGUGCAUCUUCCCUGAAGAUGUUCUCAAGAAAGCAGAUGCUUGAUCCAGUCGCAAUAACAGAGAAUGGAGGAUAAAGUAGCAGCACAACAAACCUUGUAUUCUAAUCUUUCUUAAUUUGCUUGUUUGCUUCCUUAAUGAAUAGAUACCAAGUAACGCAUGCCAACAUAGACAUUUACAUGCGUGUUCUUUGCUUCCAAAGCUGCUUUAAUUACAUAUACUUGCUCAUCGGUGAUUUUUCAUAAAGGUGAACCACUUCCUAUUGCAACAUACCAUUCUUUACCAUUGGAAGCACGGAUCACAUAAAUUAAUUGAGCCAAUGGUCGUUGAAGAAACUGAAACAGCCUUAAAAUGGACAAAAGGCUUUUUUGAAAGCCCGAACACAGUCUUUGGCACCAUAGUGUGGUCCAAAACUCACUGAUCACAGAGACUUUAAUGUGCAGAGCAUGGUGUUAGGACUGAAAAGAAAGCGACUUGUAUAAAGGUAGCUUCAAUGGGUAUGAAUGUUUGGGGAUGGUGAACUUGGCAUGGAGCGAUGCUACUCAAGGCUUAGAUAUGACAGAAGAGGGACUUAAAUGGAGGGCUUGGAGAAGGGUUUAGGGUGACCCUUGCAUGGUGAUCACGUACGCAUGGGAAACGAGUAGUGGUCUGGCUGGGUAGGCAUGAGCAAGGUUGAAGGUAGAGAGAUGAAUGAGUGUGGUAGGUGUAGGGAAUGAAUGAUGGAUGGUAGGUAUGGUGACUGCGAAACCAAGGUUUGGUUAAUCUUGAUUUUGAUGAUAACAAAACAAGGUUUAGAACUAAUGAUUAUAUUUCAAGUGUGAUUAGGCAAGACGAUUUCCAAAGUGGCAAUCACAAAGACAAAUCAAGCCAAGAAGAAAUCAUGAAGAAAAAGACCACCUCAAAGAGAAGUGUUUUUCAAGACCUAAGCUUCAUAAGAUCUCUUUGUAAGGUUGUUGGUGCACUAGGAUUUUCAUGCACUACAUUCUUCACUUAUGCACCAAAAUCGUCCAAUAGUUAUUUUGUUUUAAAUAUCUUAAGAAUUGGAUGAUUUCUUGUUUUCAACUAAAACCUUAUAUUAAAUAUUUUUCAAACUUGUUUUAAAGGGUUUUAAGUUGAAAAAGUUGGGUGUUGAGCCAAAAAAUGGCUCAAUCGGUUGAACCGAGUGAGGAACCGGUCGACCGCAAGCUCAACCGGUCGAGGUCUGGGUCGACCCCCAACUCAACCGGUCAAGGUCCGGGUUGACCCACAGCUCAAUCGGUCGAGGCCCGAGUAGACCCCCAGCUCAACCGGUCGAGGGUGCAAAAAACUCUCUUUCUUCCAGAACGGUUGUUCAACCGGUCAAGGAUGAACCUCAAUCGGUUGAGGUCCGGUUGAGGUCCGAUCGAGGUCCAACGGUCACCUGCCAAGCAUUAAAUGCUAACGGCUAGUCAACCGGUCGACCCCUAGCUCGAUCGGACGAACCCCAAAACGGCUAGUUUGGCUUUUCUCUUCUAUAAAAAGGCUCUAAUCUUCAUUGUUUCAAAAGCUUAACCUUCCCAAACAUUUCUUGAUCAUAUUUGAGCCUUGGAAGAGUGUUUUUGAGUGCACCAUUGUUCUAAAACUUGCAAAUCUUUAGUGCACCCUUCAAUCCUAGUUUUCUUGUAUCAUUUGAGCUUAAAGUUCUUGUGCUAGGAUUUUGUGAGAUCUUUUAUUUGUAAAUCUUUGAGAGGAAGUCUCAAGUGUGGGGUAUCACUUAAGGGGUUGUUCAAGAGCGGGAUAUCUCUUGAGAAUUGUAAAGGGUGCUUGGAGCCAAAAGUCCAAGAGGGUGAAUUGAAACCAUAAUCCAAUUGUAUUACUUGAAGGCUUGGUUUGGAAGCCUUGAAUUAGUGGAACCUCAAGCUUGGGAUUGAAGUUAGAGGAGAGUGGAUGUAGGCCGGGUUGUGUCGAACCACUAUAAACUCUUGUGUUUGCAUUAUCUCUUCCCUACUCUUUUAAUUUAUAUGCAAUUGUAUUUAUAUUGCCUACCAUAGGUUGAAUUAGCCUAAUAUUCCUAACAGUGACGUAUAUGAGAGAUAUGAAGGGUGAUGAGAAGUGGAUUAGUGGUGACGUGAUAGAUAUGUAAAUUUGGAAAAUGAGAAGGGUGAUAGGUAAAAGAAAUGGGUAUAGAUGAUGGUCGGGUUUGCAUGGCUCCCAUGCAUGUGGGUGGAUGAAUCUGGGAUGUCAACAAGGGCUUUAGAAGGAGCUUUGGACAACCAUGCAUGUCAAGAGGAAUUCAACCUCACUCUGAUCAUUUAAAACGGGCAAGCACCGUAACAGUAGCAUCCUUCAUAGUGGAUUUCCACCCAUACCCAAUCCACGAGUCAAAAGUGCUCUAAGUUGGGCAAAAUCCAUCAGCAAUAGCAAAAGAAAGAGUUCUUAAGUGAUCAGCAAUAACCACGUAUGCCAUGUCAACUUUGUCUGUAUCAUUUAAUCCAACUUUCCCUGAAUAUGGUUAAGCAUCAGCCGCCAAAAUGUAUCUCGGUGCAAGACCCUCAAGGACCAGUAUCACUCAUCUCCUAGAAAUUGUUGUUACAACCAGAGGGCAAUACACGUCCAGGUGGCAAAGCUUGAGCAAAAAAAAAAAAAAAAUCCCUGGCUUAGAGAGCUCAGCAGGUGGGUGGUAGUGGAGAAGGAAAUUAUGGCACCUUAAUAAAUGCAAAUGUAGUCCCAGGGAAUGAGCCAAAAUUUUUCUCUAAAAGUUUUCUGUACAUAAUUUAGAGCCAAAAGCUAGCGCUCUGCUCCGACCCAAAAAAGGGUCGAUUCGGUAAUAGGAAAAGCAAAGACGAUAGCAAGUGACCCACAACAUUCGUGGAUAGGACUUCGCCAAAAUUUUCCUCUAAAAGUUUUCUGAUCAUAAUUUACUUCUCAGUGCCCGAACCCUUCUGCAAUAUCUUUUCUAAUUAAUGAAUUUCUUGAAAUGGGGCAGUUUCAUCGAAUGUCAUCAAUUUCUAUAUCCAUGUAAAUGUAGCAUCUAAGUAGCAAACUGAACUUAAGAAAAAGCAGAGGAAGUGAAAGUCCAGAAAUGAAUCUCAACCUAAACCCCCUUACCUUUCAACCUGGGAAGUUUCCUACUCUUUCUCUCCGUCCCAGAUCUUCCAACGUCUCUAUUGCUUCCACCAUCACCUCUGGCUCCGAGUGAGUGUCUUUCGUCGAAAAUGUUCCUUGGAAAAUUCAUUUAAUUCUCAAAAUAUUCUAUGAAUGGAUAGAUCUUGCCGAUGUUCAUUGAAAACAGGAGGAAGCAAAGGCCCAAAGUAUGCAUCAUUUUUAAGGCACAACCAACAUGAAUAGCAGCCAAACAGCCAAAUUGACCGCAUGAAUCUUUUUUUUUUUUUUCUGUUUCCUAUACUUUCUCGGCAACCAAACGGGUUGGGAGAAUACGGUAAAGUGAAGGCAGCAACUUGUUCGCUGAUUUGUACAAGGUUAACCUUCAAUGCAAGUAAUUGCGUCAUUCGAUGAUAAACAACGCUCUCGCUCUGAUAAUUGGCUACGACAACCUUAUGAUUGGUUUCCAAGAAAAUGAUAGAAAAACAAACACAGAAUCUGAGACUAAUGCUUGGGAGAUGAUCCAAAAAAGUCAAAACAACUAUACUGCACUUUAGAUGGUGGCCUGUGAAUUGGGCCGUAGGUAUGAAAGUGGGCUAGGCCCAACUAUAACGGAAAACUUUUUUUUUUUUUUGAAAAUUCAAAUAUAAAAAAUGAUUUUCUUUGCUUAUUCUACGGGAAGGCAUUAAACAAAAAUUCCCAACCUAGUAUCCAUAAAUAUAUAUUACAAGCAUAUUUUAAAAAUCAUUUCUUAGAAAAAUAAACUGUGGUUUCCAAAAACAUCCUUCAACAAUGGUUUUGAAAACAUAAUUUUUGAGAAUAAUUUUUUAAAAUUGUUUUAUGAUGAUUUGUAAAACAAAAGUUUGGGAGUUUGAAAUGUUUUUAACAUAUUUUUAAUUUUUUUAAAUAUGUUUUAAAAGUAAUUUUAAUAUUUAGUGCUUUAUUUAAAAAAGACUGAAAUAAGAAUUAAAAGAUGUUAUUUAAAAACAUUAUAUUUUUUAUUUUUAAAAAUAUAAAAUAGAAAAUAAUUUUUUAAUUCUCAAAGGUUUUUUUUUUAAGAACAUAAAACUAUUAUAAAAAAAUAAUUAUCAAAUAAUGUCUUAUUUUUUUACACUCAAGCCUCCCUCCCACCUAUAAUUCCAAAAAAAAUCAUUUUUUUUGUUUUAUUUUGACAAAAAUGUCCUCCCUAUUUUCUGGUAAAAAUAAUUAUUUCUUUUAAAACCUACAUGAAAUAUUUAAAAUAAUAAAAUACAUUUAUGUCAAUAAUGAGUUAUUUUUCAAAUAAAAAUAUAAGAAUAAUUAGAUUCAUAAAUUUGGGGAUUAUUUCAUCUUUUUUAACUAAUUAAUUCUUAAAAAUAAAAAAAUCACUUGGACUUUUGAAAAGCCAAUUAUAUUUCAAUUCAAUAAAAGCUUCUUUUUAUUUUUUUUUCAAAAAAGCUUGAUAUAAAAGGUAGAAAAAUAUUGCUUUUUAUAGAAGCUAUGUUUUAACUUUUAUUUUAUCUAAUACAAAAAAAUUAUUUAUAUUUAAUAAUUCUUUUACAAUAUCAAUAUUGUCAUUUAAAAAUGAUUGCAUAAAAAAAAAUUUGAAAUAAUAUUUUGAGUGAUUUUUUUAUAUUUUUAAAAGUUUUUCAAACAUCUAAUUUGUAAAGACGUGUUUUCAAAUAUCCAAAAACACUUUUAACUUUAUUAAAAUGACUCUAAAAUGAACUAUUAGAAUUAAAAUUGAUUUUGAGAGAAUUCAAAAUGUUUUGAUGAUGGUGAUAGUGAUGUUGUAAGUUAUAUUGGGUUUGUUUGAUAAUGCUUUUAGAGUUUUAGAAGCGUUUUUUAAUAUUUGAAAAUACUUUCUGUUAGGAAUAUUAGGCUAAUUCAACCUAUGGUAAUCACCCUAAAGGGGGGGGUGAAUAAGGUGAUGAUCUCUUUUUGCAAAUUUAAACUAUGUGAAUGUAAGAGACAAUUAUUUGCAAGUAUAUAAUAAGCAAUAUAAAGACAAUUGCAUAAAAAUUAAAAAGUAGGGAAGAGAGAAUGCAAACACAAGAGUUUAUAAUGGUUCGACGCAACCCAACCUACAUCCACUCUCCUCUAGCUUCAAUCCCAAGCUUGAGGUUCCACUAAUUCAAGGAUUCCAAACCAAACCUUCAAGCAAUACAAUUAGAUCAUAGUUCUAAUUCACCCUCUUGGACUUUUAGCUCCAAGCACCCUUUACACUUCUCAAGAGAUACCACACUCUUGAGAAACUUCCUCUAAAAGGUUUACAAAUAAAUGAUCUCACAAAAAUCCUAGUACAAGAACUUUAAACUCAAAUGAUACAAGAAAACUAGGAUUGAAAGGUGCACUAAAGAUAUGCAAGUUUUAGAACAAUGGUGCACUCAAAAACACUUUUCCAAGGCUCAAAUAUAAUCAAGAAGGUUUGGGAAGGUUAAACUCUUUAAACAAUGAAGAUUAGAGCCUUUUUAUAGAAGAGAAAAACCAAACUAGCCGUUUGGGGGUUCAAUUGGUCGAGUUAGGAGUCGAUCGAUUGACUAGCCGUUAACAUUAAAUAUUUGACAAGUGACCGUUGGGCCUCAACCGGACCUCAACCAGGAAGAGAAUUACCUCGAUCGGGAAGAGAAGGCUACUGAGAGAGAGAGAAACUUUUUAGCCUCCCUCGACCGGUACUCGACCGGACAAGUACAAUCGGUCGACCAGUUCCUCAACCGGUUGAACCGGUUGAGGCAUUUUUUGGCUCAACACCCAACUUUUUCAACUUAAAACCUUUUAAAAUAAGUUUGAAUAACAUUUAACACAAGGUUUUAGUUGAAAACAUGAAAUCAUCCAAUUCUUAAGAUAUUUAAAACAAAAUAACUAUUGGAUGAUUUUGGUACAUAAAUAAAGAAUGUAAUGCAUGAAAAUCCUAGUGCACCAAUAACCUUACAAAGAGAUCUUAUGAAGCUUGAAUCUUGAAAAACAUUUUUUCUUUGAGGUGGUUUUCUUCUUCAUGAUUUCUCCUUGGCUUGAUUUGUCUUUGUGAUUGUCACUUUGGAAAUCAUUUUGCCUAAUCACACUUGAAAUAUAAUCAUUAGUUCUAAACCUUAUUUUGUUAUCAUCAAAAUCAAGAUUGACCAAACCUUAGUUUCACACUUUCUUAUAGAAAUUAGAUGUUUGACAAACUCAAAAAAUGUUUUUAAAAAAAUUAUUUUUUUAUGUUUGAUUUAUUAUGAAAAAUAUGAAAAAAAAAAUCAAUUAAAAACCUAUGUCUUCUCAAAUUAUUUAAUUAUUCUAAAAAAAAAAAGUAAAUUAUUUUGAUUUUUUUUUUUUUAAAUCAAUAACAAUUUUUCUUACUCUUUGAUCCUUCUUCCUUUUUAGCUAAUUAUCAUGUCAUUUAAGCUUGAAAAUAUGUGUUCAAUUUAAACUUAAUAAUAAUUUUAAAUGGGUUUAAGUGAGUCAGAAAAAAAAAACCAAUAAAUAAAGUCAAUAAGUUUAAUCUCUAAUUAAAUUUUAAUUAAUGUAUUAAUUAAAAAACUAAUUUAUGAGAUUAUGAGAAAUAAAUGUGGGGGAAGAUACAAGAACAAACUCGGUGAAAAAUAGUUAGGAUUUAGAAAAAAUGAUUUAUUUUAACUUAUUAUUUAAAGUUAUAUUUAGCAAUAUUAUGCAUUUUAUCAAAUAUUUUUAAUGAUUGAAAUUAACUUAUUAAUUGUUUUUGAACACAUUUUCAAUUUUUAUUUUUAAAAUAAGAGCUCUUACAUGAAAAGUAAAAUCUUAUGUCAACAAAUCUUAUUUAUACAAGCUUCAACUACUUCAAUAAUUACUCUCAUAAAUUAUAAAAAUUACCCUUAUACUUUCAUUUCUACCUUAAUUCAUCUCUAAGGGUUUUUUUUUUAAAUAAAAAUAAAAAGCAACAUCAACCCUACAGUAGUUUCAAAGAUGAAUAAGUUCUUAUGAUUGGAACAUAGACAAAUUAAAAUAGACAAACAUAUCAUAUAAUGAUUGAAAAAAUAAAUAGACAACUACGAUAGAAACAUAGACACGAGAUCUAUCUUUAGUGUUGAGCAUGGUGAUGGUGGUAAAGUUGCAAAGCCUUUUUACUCUAGAGGAGUAAAAAAGGGCCUUGAUGGAGACGAAGACAAAAUGUGGGGUGGAUGGUAGUUGAAUAUUGGUGAUGGUGGAAUUUAUUAGAGUACUAUUAAAAGUGUUUGCAGUGUUUGGUAGUAAUUUUAAAAGGAAUUAAAAACAUAGUGAAUUGUUUUGUAGCAGUAUAAUUUUAAUGUUUGAAAAUAAUCUUUUUUUUUCUUCUUGAAUUCAGGAACAUAUUUAGCAAUGACUCUUGAAAACGAUUUUUGAUUCUUUAGAAUAGAACAAUGUUUUCUAACUAUACGUUUCAGAGAAAUAAUUUUUUUAAAAUAUGCAUAGCAUUAGUAGAUUAGCAAUUAAAAAUAAGGAUUUUCUAGGAUUGGGCUGAAUUAAGAGAAAGAAAAUAUGCAUAGAAUUUGAUUAAAACGUCGAUUAACAAGCAAGUUGAGUUUUUGGGGCAAAAUAGUCCUUUUAUAAAAUAAAAAUGUAAGGUAUAACCCCUCCAUAAAACUUAUGUUCAACUGUCUCCUUCAUUGUCAUAUAAGAGUCAUAUCAUAAAAGAUAUUUUUCUUUUCAAAAUUUAAGUUGAAACCUCAAUUAUCAAUCGGGACUUCAUUUUUUUUAACUAAAACCGUAAUUUGUAAGUGAGACUAUUGAGGCUUCUGUUGAAUUUUUUUUUUUAAAGUUUAAAAUUUAAUUAAAAAUAUUAAACUACAAAUUAUUACUGAAAUUUAAAAUAUAUACUUGAAUAAUAAUAAAUUAUAUAUUUAAACUUAAAGAUUUAAUAUAACUUCAAUAAAGAUAAAUUGAUAAAUAUAAUAAUAAUAAAUAUUUUAUUUAUCAAUAAAUUAAUAAUCUUAAAAUAAUAAAGUUAUAUGAUAUAUAAAUAAGAUACAAAAUUAUAUAAUUUAUUAAUUUAUGAUAUUUAUUUUUUUUGUAUUUUUAAGAUAUUAAUUUAUUUGCAUUUUGACAAAUUUAUCUUUAUUGAAAUAAUAGUAUACUAAGUUUCUAUAUAUAGAUUUUGUAUUAUUUUAAAACAUAUGUUUAUAAUUUUAUGUAAAAAAAAGACUAUUAUUUGUGCACACACAACAUAUAUGCCUUGAAGAUACAUUUCAAAAUUAGUUAAUGAAAGUAAUUAAAAAAAUAUACUACAAAAUAUAAUUUUUAGUACUUUCAUCAAAGUCACAAAAAAUACCUAGUAAAUAUUUAUAUAGUGAGAAAAAAGAACGUCAGUCCCUGAUUGUAGCAGGUACUACAUGUGAUAUAACUUAAAUUAAUAAAUUUUAUAAUUUUAUAUCUUAUUUAUAUGUCGUGUAACUUUAUGAUUUUAAGUUUAUUAAUUUAUUGAAAAAUAAAGUAUUUAUUUAUUAUUAUAUUUACCAAUUUAUUUUUAUUGAAGUAAUACUAGAUCUUUAAGUUUAAAUAUAUAAUUUUUUUUAUUAUUUAAGUAUAUAUUUUUAAUUUUAACAAUAGUUUAAUAUUUUUUAAUUAAAUUUUAAAGUAAGAAAAAAACAAUUAAAGCCUCAAUUGCUAAUUAUGACUUCAGUUAAAAAAAUGAAGCAUUAGUUGACAAUUGAGGUUUUAAUUAAAAUUUUGAAAAAAAAAAAAUUUAUAACAUGGCUCCUAUGUGGCAAUAUAGAGGCUAAUUUGAACAUAAGUUUUGCAAAAAGGUUAAACCUUAGGGUUAGAUUUCCAGAAAAAAUAUGGGAAGAGUUAGAUUUCCGAUUUGUGGAUUAUUUUAUCCCUUUUAACCAAAUAUUUCUAAACCGGGUUAUUUGAUUAAAAAGGUCUCUCCAAACCCAAAUUUUAAAAUUUAACCUCCCACUAUUUUUUGGCAUCAUUUGGAUAAAAAUGCCCUCAUUAUUUUCUAGUAAAAAUAAUAAUUUCUUUUAAAACCUAUAUGUAAAUACUUAAAAUAGAAACGAACAUUUAUGUCGAAAAUGGGUUACUUUUUCAAUAAAAACAUGAGAAAUGUUAGAUUUCUGAUUUAGGGAUUAUUUCAUCCCUUUUAACAAAAUAUUUCUAAACCUUAUAUAUUUUCUAUAAAAUGGCUAUAUUCCCCUAAAACUCCAACAAGGAAGCAUAAUAGGUUUUCAAGGGUUUUUAUCUAAACAACCUGCUCUUAUGAGGGUUUUCUCCUCCAAGUUGCCUUUCCAUAUGUCUAAAUCCACCCAAGAACAUCCAUUUCUAUAUAUAUAUAUAUUUAGCAUCCAAGUCUGACGUCCAGAUUACACGGAAGUGAAGUCAGAAAAUGGCACUCAAUUUCACUCCCUUGCUUUCUUUUACUUUCCUGCAAAUGGGUUAUCAUACAUCUCCCAAAUUCUCCAUGGCCUCCAUGCACCGCUCUGUGUCCAGGUGAGUGUGUUCUUCACUCACAAAAGUUUACGGAAUCUGCAUACCAUCUAGUAGAAAAUGGCUAGUGCCUAUGUUCAUUGUUUCAUCCUAACCAGUAGUGUCUAACCGUUGUGAAAAGACGGAUCCGAAUUGUAAGUACCUAAUCCAAAUUUCUUCUGUUUAAUGUAGGGAGAUUAAGAAUACAAAGAAGACUUCUAGCUCUCCUCGCAAGGUGCAAGUAACCCACUCAAUGCCACCACACAAGAUUGAGAUUUUCAAAUCCAUGGAGAAUUGGGUUGAGGAGAAGUUUUAAUUCACCUGAAGCCAGUUGAGAAAUGUUGGCAACCUCAGGAUUUUCUGCCUGAUCCUGCAUCUGAUGGAUUUCAUGAGCAAGUCAAGGAGCUGCAGGAGAGAGCUAAGGGGAACCCAGAUGACUACUUUGUGGUUUUGGUUGGACAUAUGAUCACUGAAGAAGCCCUUCCAACUUACCAAACACAGAUCAAUAUCACUGAUGGAAUUCGUGAUGAAACAGGGGCAAGCCCCAGCUCAUGGGCAACUUGGACAAGGGCAUGGACCGCUGAAGAGAACAGGCACGGUGACCUUCUUAAUAAGUAUCUCUAUCUGUCUGGAAGAGUAGACAUGAAACAAAUCGCGAAGACGAUUCAGUAUUUGAUUGGGGCUGGAAUGGUGAGAUUCUUGCUACAUCCCCUUUUUUUUUUUUUUUUUCUGUAGUCAGUCACAAUCUUCACUAGUUCUUGAACUCAAGUUCUUCUUCUCCAUCUUUUCAUAGGAUGCUCAGAAUGAUAACAGUCCCUACCUUGGCAGCAUCUAUACUUCAUUUCAAGAAAGGGCAACCUUCAUAUCCCAUGGCAGUACUGCCAGGCUCGCCAAUCAACAUGGGGACAAGAGCUUGGCUCAAAUAUGUGGCAUAAUAGCCUCAGAUGAGAAGCGCCAUGAAACUGCCUACACCAAGAUAGUGGAAAAGCUCUUUGAGAUUGAUCCCAAUGGAACUGUUUUGGCUUUUGCAGACAGGAUGAGGAAGAAAAUCACCAUGCCGGGCCUCUUGAUGUAUGAUGGAUGUGAUGAAAACCUUUUUAAGCACUUCUCAGCAGUUGCUCAGAGGCUUGGUGUGUAUACUGCCAAGGACUAUGUUGAUGUCUUAGAAUUCUCUGUGGAGAGAUGGAACGUGGAAAAGCUAACUGGGCUUUCUAGUGAGGGGCGAAAAGCUCAGGAUUACGUUUGUGGGUUAGCUCAAAGAUUGAGAAAGCUGGAGGAGAGAGCUCAAGAAAAAGCUAAGCAAGCACCCACCAUUCCUUUCAGUUGGAUUUUGGAUAGAGAAGUGAGGCUCUGAGUGCAAAAUGGAAGACAAAGAUUGGUCGUGUCCUCAAAGAUCUAUCCUGUAAUAUACAAGUUUAAGCCAUCUAUGUUUCUCUAUCUCAAUUUUAAUAAUCACGAUCUCAUCUCAUAUCACUUCUUAGAAUCCUACAAACCAGGGUUUUGGUUCAUAUCUCAUCAUUUGGACUGGAGCAGUGCUUUUUUUUUUUUUUUAAAUUCCUAUAAGAUAUUGGUAAAAACAUCCUUAGCAAAAAGGAAAUGAUAGGACACUGUACAUGUUCCAAUCAAGGAGAGCUCAGCACCGGUGGUGGUGAGAGGUAGUGGAGAAGGAAAUUAUGGCUCCUUGAUAACUGCAAAUGCAGCCCCAGUGAGAGAGCCAAAAUUUUCCUUUGAAAGUUUUGUGUUCAUAAUAUACAUCUCAGUGCCUGAACCUUCCUGCAAUAUCUUUUCUAAUUAAUGAAUUUCUUGAAAUGGGGCAGUUUCAUCGAAUGUCGUCAAUUUCUAUAGCCAUGUAUGUGUAGCAUCUAAGUAGCAAACUGAACCUAAGAAAAGCAGAGGAAGUGAAAGUCCAGAAAUGAAUCUCAACCUAAACCCCCUUACCUUUCAACCCGGGAAGUUUCCUUCUCUUUCUCUCCGUCCCAGAUCUUCCAACGUCUCCAUCGCUUCCACCAUCACCUCUGCCUCCAAUUGAGUGUCUUUAGUCGAAAAUGUUCCUCGGAAAAUUCAUUUGAUUCCCAAAAUAUUCUAUGAAUGGAUAGAUCUUGCCGAUGUUCAUUGAAAAGAGGCGGAAGCAAAGCUCAAAUGUAUGCAUCAUUUUUAAGGCACAACCAACAUGAAUAGAAGCUUAACAGCCAAAUUGACUAGAUGGAUCUCUCUUUUUUCGGUUUCCUAUACUUUCUCGGCAACCAAAAGGGUUGGCAGAGAGAAUCUGAGACUAAUGCUUGGGAGAUGAUCCAAAAACCGUACUCCAAAAGUGAAGUAACC
rnacentral:lncRNA from 1 species